UUCAAAAUUUAAGUGGGCUCUCUCGUAGGGAAAGUGAGUUUCUAAAAAAUCUUAAGAGGUUAUGGGAAGAGACAAGCCAAUAUAGAAGUGAGAGAUUAAAAAGAGAAGAAGAGAGAAGAAGAGAAGAAGAGAGAAUAAGAAAAGAAGAGAAAAAGAGAGAAGAGAGAAAGAAGAGAUAAGAAUAAUAGAAAUAGAGAGAAGAAAAAGAGAGCAAAAAGAAAGAGAAGAAGAAGAGAAAAGAGAGCAGGAGAGAAAAGAACAAGAGACAAGAGAACAAGAGGAAAGAGAAAAGGAAGAAAGAAAGAGAAAGGAAGAAGAGCAAGAAAAUCAAAGAAAAAAACUAGGAGAAGAGCAAGCACCACCUUCUCCAAUUAAAACUAAUUAGUGAUAUGUUUGAUGCUUAUUGCAGAUUCACAUUUGACCCCGGAGGAACUUACAUAGGGCCAACAACAAUAAGUCCUCAUAAUAAAGACGAUCCACCAGAUUUGAGGACAAAACCUUCUCAAUGGGGAGGAGAUGAUGACUUGGGCCCAAGCCCAUCAAAUAAUCAAAGUCCAAUUAGUAGAAGAAUAAAGGUUACUGAGUUCACCCCUCCAUUUUGCUAAGCAAUCCCGUGGCCCUUUCUUUCACAUUUCAGCACAUGUGUCUCGUGUAGCAUAGGCUUUCACGCAUCUUCUAGAAAUUCAACAUUUCCAUUGCUUGUUCCACGUGGCAAUAGAUCCACGAAUCCAGGCUUAUCAUUAGCCACGCACAUGCUCCGUGAAUUCUCUAUAAAUUCACGACAACACCCAUUGUAAUCACUUUUGGAAUAUAUGAGAAACUCUGCUGAAAUGCAUUGCCAGCUUCUCUACACCGAAAGUCACUUCAUGCUUGUUCUUCCCUCUACACCAACUUCGCUGCCAGAAAUCAUUUUACCUCCGCUGAAUCAAAUCCUGCGCAUCUGUGUUACAUUCGGCAUCUGGAUGCAGCUAUCAACACCCCUCAGCGCUGCAGCUUGAGCGGUCUCUCUGCAUUCCUCUAACGAGUCCACCGUCUGGCGGUAGCUACAAUUCCAUCCUCACCCCUUGGCGUUCCCUUUAAGCGCUUGGCAGUGUAAUCAUAGAAGGUCUCACCGCCCGGCGAUGCUCUCACCGCCCAACGGUAGCUGCGAUUCAACUUUGCUCCAUUCUUCCACCUUUUUUUGCAUCCAACACUUCUCUUCCUUCACUUCCUUCGUCAAACCCUGAUAAUUCCUGUCAAAACAAGGGAAAACCAAACAUAAAACCCAGAAAACCCACUUUG
rnacentral:lncRNA from 1 species